rnacentral:rRNA from 1 species
CUACGUGCCAGCAGCCGCGGUAAUACGGAGGGUGCGAGCGUUAAUCGGAAUUACUGGGCGUAAAGCGCACGCAGGCGGUCUGUCAAGUCGGAUGUGAAAUCCCCGGGCUCAACCUGGGAACUGCAUUCGAAACUGGCAGGCUAGAGUCUUGUAGAGGGGGGUAGAAUUCCAGGUGUAGCGGUGAAAUGCGUAGAGAUCUGGAGGAAUACCGGUGGCGAAGGCGGCCCCCUGGACAAAGACUGACGCUCAGGUGCGAAAGCGUGGGGAGCAAACAGGAUUAGAUACCCUGGUAGUCCACGCUGUAAACGAUGUCGACUUGGAGGUUGUGCCCUUGAGGCGUGGCUUCCGGAGCUAACGCGUUAAGUCGACCGCCUGGGGAGUACGGCCGCAAGGUUAAAACUCAAAUGAAUUGACGGGGGCCCGCACAAGCGGUGGAGCAUGUGGUUUAAUUCGAUGCAACGCGAAGAACCUUACCUACUCUUGACAUCCAGAGAAUUCGCUAGAGAUAG